rnacentral:rRNA from 1 species
UACGGAGGGGGCAAGCGUUGCUCGGAAUCAUUGGGCGUAAAGCGCACGUAGGCGGCCUGGUAAGUCGGAUGUGAAAUCCCUCGGCUCAACCGAGGAAGUGCAUUCGAAACUGCCAGGCUUGAAUAUGGAAGAGGGUCGCGGAAUUCCCGGUGUAGAGGUGAAAUUCGUAGAUAUCGGGAGGAACACCAGUGGCGAAGGCGGCGACCUGGGCCAAUAUUGACGCUGAGGUGCGAAAGCGUGGGGAGCAAACAGG